GGAGUUUGAUCAUGGCUCAGAACGAACGCUGGCGGCAGGCCUAACACAUGCAAGUCGAGCGCCCCGCAAGGGGAGCGGCGGACGGGUGAGUAACGCGUGGGAACGUACCCUUUGCUACGGAAUAGCCUCGGGAAACUGGGAGUAAUACCGUAUGUGUCCUUCGGGAGAAAGAUUUAUCGGCAAGGGAUCGGCCCGCGUUGGAUUAGGUAGUUGGUGGGGUAAUGGCCUACCAAGCCGACGAUCCAUAGCUGGUUUGAGAGGAUGAUCAGCCACACUGGGACUGAGACACGGCCCAGACUCCUACGGGAGGCAGCAGUGGGGAAUCUUAGACAAUGGGCGCAAGCCUGAUCUAGCCAUGCCGCGUGAGCGAUGAAGGCCUUAGGGUUGUAAAGCUCUUUCAGGGGGGAAGAUAAUGACUGUACCCCCAGAAGAAGCCCCGGCUAACUCCGUGCCAGCAGCCGCGGUA
rnacentral:rRNA from 1 species